UACAAGCUAUGAAGUUAAACAAACGAAGUAAACUAAUAUAUACAUAUUUACUGCAAAAUGGGAUUUUGAGUGAUGAUAACGAGUGCCUAUGCUGAGUGUAGUUUUCCCAAUUAUCGCCCUGUUCCUACACGGAAAAUCAUAGGACAAGGAUAAACUGUAAAUCCCAGAUACAUUACGCUGCCGAGAUAGUGAGUCAACAGCGGUUCAACGUCUCGUGGAAUCCCCAGAGUCGGUCACGACUUUGACGCAAUACCAGUUGCUAGAGCUCUGCAGACAUGUUGCGUCUGUCAGGCUUGCUAAGUCGCUUAGACGAUUUUCUCUCGUCAGCUCAAGAGUUGGAUGGCAGGUUGGACUCAGGGGAUGUGCAGCCAGAUUGGCGGAAGAUUACGGCUCACUACUGCGGCCCACAGCAUCCAACCCUUAACCGGCGAAUGGCCAGCCAAUAGCUGAAUGCCUCCAGCUAAGGGAUUUAAGGGAGAGACGUCGACAACGACACACUGGCACCGUGUACAGCAUCCGUACACCCUUGAUACACGGCUUCGGAGGACCGACUGACGGACACUAAGACGAUUUCAAAGCUAAGAUAUAUGCCUGCCUCCUGUCAACAGGUGGACAGCGUCUGAUGCUCAAUGGUUCCAGGCGCCUGAUCGGAACCCCGACGAUCCGGUCUGCCAUUGCCAGUGUUCGGCCCCCUGGAACUGGGAUAUCACUGAUAGACCUCAUAGACUUUUCGUCUCCCUUUGCAUUUCCUGCUCAUACUGCUGGAUCGUACGAGCCAUGAAUCACCACGCAUUGCUGCUGCUGCUGCUGCUGCUGCUCUUGAUAUUAAUUAUACUAAUGGCAAUACUACCGAGUCAUCAAUACGAAAUUAUACCUAUAUCGACGCUUCCACACUUGUGCGUUAUGUGGUACGACGGAUUUUGGCAUUAGGCAUAUAUUGCGAGG